CAUUAGUGUAUAUUAAAGUUGUUGCGGUUAAAAAGCUCGUAGUUGGAUAUCUGAAUUGGUUGGUCUGACCCGGUAGUAUAUUUUUUAUCAAAGUGUCUCGUGUUUGUUGGUACGAAUCAGCUCAUCUAUUCCAGGUAUACAUUGUUUCUUACAUUUAUUUGUUGGAUCCAUUGAAUUACUUGGAUCGUUUACUUUGAAUAAAGGAGGUUGUUUAAAGGAGGCUACACACGUCAUUGUAUUUUUCAGCAUGGAAUAAUAAUUUAGGGCUUUGUGUUUCUAUUUUGUUGGUUACGAUCUACAUGAGCAAUGAUUAAUUGGGGGAGUUGGGGGUGCUAAUAUCCAUUGGGAAGGAGUGAAACCCUAUGAUCCUUUGGAGAUUGUCUAACGCGAAAGCAUUCACCAAGGUUCCUUUCUUUAAUCAAGAACGAAAGUUGGGGGAGCGAAGACGAUCAGAU
rnacentral:rRNA from 1 species